ARGGAUUCCCCUAGUAACUGCGAGUGAACCGGGAAAAGCUCAAAUUUUGAAUCUGGCGGUCCUCGCGGCCGUCCGAGUUGUAAUCUAGAGAAGCGUCUUCCGCGCUGGACCGUGUAUAAGUUUCCUGGAAAGGAACGUCGUAGAGGGUGACAAUCCCGUCUUUGACACGGACUCCCAGGGCUUUGUGAUGCGCUCUCGACGAGUCGAGUUGUUUGGGAAUGCAGCUCAAAUAGGGUGGUAAAUUCCAUCUAAAGCUAAAUAUAGGCGAGAGACCGAUAGCGAACAAGUACCGUGAGGGAAAGAUGAAAAGAACUUUGGAAAGAGAGUUAAACAGUACGUGAAAUUGCUGAAAGGGAAACGCUUGAUGUCAGUCGCGUCGACCGGGGAUCAGUCUCGCUUAAUCGCUCGACGUACUUCCUGGCWGACGGGUCAGCAUCGGUUUYGACCGUCGGAAAAUGGCUCGAGGAACGUGGCACCUCUCGGGGUGUGUUAUAGACUCGGGUCGAAUACGACGUUCGGGACCGAGGGACUCAGCACGACCUUCGGGUUCGGGGCUUCGGCUCACGUUAACGUGCUUAGGAUGCUGGCAUAAUGGCCUUAAGCGACCCGUCUUGAAACACGGACCAAGGAGUCUAACUCGCAUGCGAGUGUUUGGGCGUUUAAAACCCGAGCGCGUAAUGAAAGUGAAAGUCGAGAUCUCUGUCGUGGAGAGCACCGACGCCCGGACCAGAGCUUUUGCGAAGGAUCUGAGGUAGAGCAUGCGUGUUGGGACCCGAAAGAUGGUGAACUAUGCCUGA
rnacentral:rRNA from 1 species